ensembl:lncRNA
GAGACAGUGGCAGCAGACAGCGAGGAUGGGGGGAAUGGUACAGAUGGCAGCGUAGAUGAUGUCUCAGUAAACAGAAAACAGAGACCGAUCGGUCGCCAGAGUGGAAACAAGCAGGGACACGUGCCUGCACUCUCUGUAUUUGAAAACUCAGAAAGAUGACAUUGAGAAACAGGACAAAGACAUCAACGCACACACACACUUCUAAUCUCUCACACGCAAGCAGGCGUGCCCUUCAAAGCCAAAGGAACUGGAGCAGACGAGACAAAGAUGGACACGGUGGCUGUAAAGACACGAGCGGGCGUGCGAGUGUCUCCUGUGGCUGCAAGAGAAAGUCAUUAGGAGCUUUGAAGAUGAAUGUACAGCAUCAUCGGCGAGGGACUUGUGUGGCUCCGCGAGGACACAAAGAGAGAACCUUGCAUCUCAUCUGGGCAGCCUGGGGAAUUGCAGCACUCCCCGAGCCGCCAUUUUGGAAGCAUCCUGUGGAACAGCGAGUCACCGGAGAGAACUCCUUAGGGGGCGAAGGGGAGAGAGCAGCAGGAAGGGAGAGGGAAAAAAAGGCGAAUGCUGGUGUGUACCCGCAUGAGGACAGCUGCUGAAAUCACUGAGUGGAAAAAAAAGAACAACAAAAUCUGUGGACCAUCCAUGAUCCCAGUUAUUAGACAAUGGAGUGACUCUGGGAUCAGAGGAGGAGAUGUGAUGCUCUGGCUGGAGCUCCACAGGCCACAGAGAUGACACAUGGAUAAACACCAUGCCAGCGACAUGAUGACAUGAUGGGGCCUUAAUGAUAGUUCUUAGCACCUCAUUCUCAUCAGGGCUGUCAAGUCACAAAGGUUGACUUUGACUCCCUGUUGGAGCUCAGUCUGGGGGGAGUUAUUUUUUUCUCCUUAUCUUUCCUCGUGUGGUGCAUUUUUCCAUUGUUAUACCUCUCUGACCUGUCUUCCCCAUGUGAUGUUUUUGUGUAAUGUAUGUAUAGUCAGAGGGUAAGAUGGCGCCGCCAUUGCGUGCAAUAGGUCGGCAGCCUAAUGAAAUUUCCCCUUGUGGGACUAAUACAGGUAUAUCAAAUCAAAUCAAUUCAAAAUCAAAAGUUCAUUUUUUGUUUUUCCAUAAUGCUUCUUCUUCUACAAUAAUUAUAGGAUUUGGAGGUGGUAGUUGUUGUGUUAGUUUUUUUUGCAGCUUUUGUUUAUUAAAUUAUAAUAUAUGAAAUUCUAAUGUAUAGUGUACCUUUGCGAUCUGCAGUGAAAUAAACAAAAUCUUUCCUAAAACUUAAUCUUAAAUGCAUAUUGUGAUUUUUUUUAAGAUAAAUUUUGCAGUUCUUGACACUGUAUUCGGAAGAUUUUCUGCAUGUCUUCUUCUGUAACUUUCACUCCUCUGUCCAGUGAACCACAACCCUCUCACUCUUGACAAUAAAGGUGUAUUUUGCCUCUUU